rnacentral:tRNA from 1 species
AAGAAAUUAGCUCAAUUGGCAGAGCAGCCUCUUUACACGUGGAAGGUUAGGUGUUCGAAUCACCUAUUUCUUA